rnacentral:rRNA from 1 species
AGAGUUUGAUCCUGGCUCAGGAUGAACGCUGGCGGCGUGCCUAACACAUGCAAGUCGAGCGGAGUUAUUUUCAGGAAGCUUUCGGGUGGAAUGAACUUAACUUAGCGGCGGACGGGUGAGUAACGCGUGGACAACCUACCCUGUACAGGGGGAUAACAAUGGGAAACCAUUGCUAAUACCCCAUAACACCCUUUAGGGGCAUCCCUUUAAGGUCAAAGAAUUUCGGUACAGGAUGGGUCCGCGUCUGAUUAGCUAGUUGGUGAGGUAAUGGCUCACCAAGGCGACGAUCAGUAGCCGGCCUGAGAGAGUGAACGGCCACACUGGAACUGAGACACGGUCCAGACUCCUACGGGAGGCAGCAGUGGGGAAUAUUGCACAAUGGGCGAAAGCCUGAUGCAGCAACGCCGCGUGAGCGAUGAAGGCUUUCGGGUCGUAAAGCUCUGUCCUAAGGGAAGAUAAUGACGGUACCUUAGGAGGAAGCCCCGGCUAACUACGUGCCAGCCGCCGCGGUAAUAC